rnacentral:rRNA from 1 species
CCUACGGGAGGCAGCAGUGAGGAAUAUUGGUCAAUGGUCGCAAGACUGAACCAGCCAUGCCGCGUGCAGGAUGAAGUAUCUAUGGUGUGUAAACUGCUUUUGUACGGGAAGAAACACCCCUUCGUGAAGGGGCUUGACGGUACCGUAAGAAUAAGGAUCGGCUAACUCCGUGCCAGCAGCCGCGGUAAUACGGAGGAUCCGAGCGUUAUCCGGAAUCAUUGGGUUUAAAGGGUCCGUAGGCGGUUUUGUAAGUCAGUGGUGAAAUCCGGCAGCUCAACUGUCGAACUGCCAUUGAUACUGCAGGACUUGAAUUACUGUGAAGUAACUAGAAUAUGUAGUGUAGCGGUGAAAUGCUUAGAUAUUACAUGGAAUACCAAUUGCGAAGGCAGGUUACUAACAUUAUAUUGACGCUGAUGGACGAAAGCGUGGGGAGCGAACAGGAUUAGAUACCCCGGUAGUC